CACGUAGGCACCAAGCGUUGUCCGGAUUUAUUGGGCGUAAAGAGCUCGUAGGCGGCUCAGUAAGUCAGAUGUGAAAACUCAGGGCUCAACCCGGAGACGCCAUCUGAUACUGCUGUGGCUUGAGUCUGGUAGGGGAUCACGGAAUUCCUGGUGUAGCGGUGAAAUGCGCAGAUAUCAGGAGGAACACCGAUGGCGAAGGCAGUGAUCUGGGCCAGUACUGACGCUGAGGAGCGAAAGCGUGGGUAGCAAACAGG
rnacentral:rRNA from 1 species